rnacentral:tRNA from 1 species
GCGCCCGUAGCUCAGGCGGAUAGAGCGACUGGCUUCGAACCAGUAGGUCGGGAGUUCGAAUCUCUCCGGGCGCGCCA